rnacentral:rRNA from 1 species
AAUGGCGACCGGCGCACGGGUGAGUAACACGUAUCCAACCUGCCGAUAACUCGGGGAUAGCCUUUCGAAAGAAAGAUUAAUAUCCGAUAGCAUAUUGAGGUCGCAUGAUUUUGAUAUUAAAGAAUUUCGGUUAUCGAUGGGGAUGCGUUCCAUUAGUUUGUUGGCGGGGUAACGGCCCACCAAGACUACGAUGGAUAGGGGUUCUGAGAGGAAGGUCCCCCACAUUGGAACUGAGACACGGUCCAA